rnacentral:rRNA from 1 species
UACAGAGGUCCCAAGCGUUGUUCGGAUUCACUGGGCGUAAAGGGUGCGUGGGUGGCCAGGUAAGUUUGGUGUGAAAGCUCGGAGCUUAACUCCGAAAAGUCAUUGAAUACUAUCUGGCUGGAGGGUCGGAGGGGAGACUGGAAUUCUCGGUGUAGCAGUGAAAUGCGUAGAUAUCGAGAGGAACACCAGUGGCGAAGGCGAGUCUCUGGACGACUCCUGACACUGAGGCACGAAAGCUAGGGGAGCAAACAGG